CGGCUCGGACGGAGUUCAUUUGCCGGGCUGAGGUCCCACAAACUGCAAGGAAAAGAAAAACCCUCAAGAGGAAUUACCUUUAUACCUGAUGCCCCCAACAUAAUCUCUCUCCAAGGGAAACUUGUUUUUAUUGCCUUGCGGCUGUUACGAUGACUGAAAAUGUAUUCUGGAUUCUCCCCCUUCUCUCUUUUGUUUUGCAUUUUUUGGAUGUGGUAAAACUGGCAGUUUAUCUGAUUAUCUGGUUUUCAGAACUUUGGACGAUGUCUCUGAGUGUCAUCAGUUGCUGUCUAGGUUUGACAUAGAUAAUUAAGCAACUACAAAGCGUGAUAAAGCUUUUGAGAGGGAGGAAAGUGUAUUUUGGAAGGAGGGAGAGACGCAAAGAGGCGAGCCUGUGUGUUGAGUCCCAGACUUGGUGUGUGACUACAGGCAAAGUACUUCACCUUUCUAGAUGUCAGCCCCGCCCCCCUCACCUCCCAAGUUUAAAUAAGAACUUAUUUUAGACUACAUGAUCCUGUUUUCAAUUUUUAAGAGUUCUGUGAUUUUGAGAUGAUCUCUCUUUAGUCCAGAAAAAUGGAGGAAUGUAGGUCUAUGUUUGUUUCUCAAAAAAAUAUUUGAGGAGGACAGCUGUUACAAAACAGCUGGAGAACUCCAAAUUUUUAUGGUGGUUAGCUAGGUGCAAAUGGGUACAAUUUUAGGUUUGUUCAAAUAAACAUAGGGGAAAAGUAAAAGUACAGGAAAAUUACAUUAUACAUAUAAGUGUGUCCAUUUCUGAUUUUUCUAAAAAUUUACUUUUUGAUUUGACAAGUACUUUUUGGCUCCUUCCGUGUAUGCAUUAAUAUGUAUAUAAGGUGUUAUGG
rnacentral:lncRNA from 1 species